ACUUUCUACAAUUAAUUAAGAUUAGUCAACAAUUGAGAGAGAUUUGAACUUAUAUCCUUUGCUUACUGAAAAGAUAAGUCGUCUCCUAUGGUGUUUUAGCUGUUAACCUUUCAUCUUGGAGGCUCUUGUAGUUAAUUAAGGAACAUUAGAAGAACUCCGGAUACCAUUAAAUUAUGAAAUUAUGGAGCAUUGGUUGUAUUAGUCCUCAUUUGCCCUGUAAAGUAGCUGUGCCCAUGGUUCUAAAGAAAGCAUGAAAGUGCCUUUUAUUCAUUGGGAGCGAAAACAGUGUGCUGAAAAAAGGAUUUAUGAUGAUGAACUGAAAUGGAAGAAGCAGAAUUAACGUGGAACAGAUCUUUCCAUUAGUGUGCAUGUUACUGAUUUAUACUGAUUUAUUCGAUUUAAAAAUGGUAAUUAAUUUUUCUUGCCUGAUUCCAUAUAGAUUGUCCCACAAAUGAGAAGGAAUCGCGGUUAAUUUUGGUACUACUGAAACAACCGAUGCUUUUGACGUCUUCACCUUGCAACUUUAUGCAGUUAAUUUUUGCCGUAACAAUGGGAGGCAAUUGGA